UGCAAAUUGCACAAGUCGUUGUAGACCCAACACACGAAAUAUCUGCUCCGUAAAAAAUCGAUUGAUGUUGAAGUUCGGUUACACACUCCAGCAACAUAGAAACGGACAACAUUAUUUGUUUCAGCUCAUUGGUGGGUUCGGUUUCAUUGUGGAAUGAAAAUGUAUGGAAAAUCUAGAUGGCGCCAUCAGUAGCGAAUCUGAUGCUCUGGUUGUAUUUGUUUUUUAAUUUUCUCUCUAGCCAUCAUAACCAAUGCCUGCUAACAAUUGACUGUUACCUGUCAAACGUUCGCAGCGCCGCAGGUGUCGUUUUUGUAAUGUAAAAUACAUUCAAAAAAAUUCAAUAGAAAAAAAUCAUAACGAAAAUUUUUCAUUCCCUUUUGUGUGGAUCUUCUUCGAAUACAGGAAAAUACUUGAACAUAGCAGCGCCACUAUAAUCGCAAAACUAGCUAUGUUGGAUGCAGACAAAUUGUUGUCGUAUUUCCAUACGAUUGACAGAAUGCUGAUACCCAUUGAUCAUAACUUCCAAAUGCCUUGGCCAGGUGGUGUAAGUCUAUGGUCUUUCGGGACUAAUGGCUUUUGGUUCAAAUCGUGGAAAAAUGGAUUUUUCGAAAUUCGAACACAUUUUUGAAGAAUAUUUUCUGUUUUUUUUAUAAAUAUGUAUAUCACAAUGGAACUUCGAAGUUAACCCCCUAAUGCAUACAACCGCCUCUAGACAGGCAACAUUUGAACGCCUGUAGAGCCGAUCACAUUGCUUCAAAAGGGAUUUUUAUUCGUCAAUGUUUUCUCUUUAUUUUUGUCUUUGGUAAUAUUUGUCUAUGUAGUGUGAUUGUAAAGUUACUAUAAAGAAAAAUGUGUGCAAAAACAAAAAUUUGACAAAAUAAAUUAUUCGAACUUCAAAUUAGA